rnacentral:rRNA from 1 species
GUAUACAGGCCUAAAUACCAUAAAGGCACCUGAUCCCAUCUGAUCUUGGAAGCUAAGCAAGCGCAGCCCUGGUAAAUACUUGGAUGGAAGACCACCAAGGAAUGCCAGGUGCUAUAGGAU